UGCUCAUCCAGCUAUGACUCCACUUCCUGUCCUCUGACCCAAUUCUCAUUUCCCCAUCAUGUCCUCAAGGGCACCACCAGUCUCUAGCAGAACUUCAGUACUGAACUGUAGCAGCCAAAGAGAAAAGAUUCCAGGAGAGUUCACUUUAAGCAAGGUGCUCUUGAACAACAAGAUGUCCUCUUCUGCUCCCCCAGUGCAGAGACAACCUGAAGAGCUAUGCAUCUUUCCUGAGCCAUUGUGCUUGGGGGAAGAGACCAGGAUGGACCAUGUGGAAGAGAGUGGUGUUUGAUCCAGGGAAUGAGAUCCACGAUGAUUAACAACAAAGAGUGGGAGAAGGCAGGCUGGAUACGGUGGUUCACAUCUGUAAUCCCAGGACUUUGGGAGGCCGAGGCACGUGGAUCACGAGGUAAGGAGUUCGAGAUCAGCCUGGCCAAUUUGGUGCCGUCUCUACUAAAAAUACAAAAAUCAGCCAGGCACGGUGGCGGGUGCCUAUAAUCCCAGCUACUCAGGAGGCUGAGGCAGGAGAAUUGCUUGAACCUGGGAGGCGGAGGUUGCGGUGAGCUGAGAUCAUGCCACUGCAUGCCUGGGUGACAGAGCAAGACAUCGUCAAAAAAAAAAAAAAAAAUGGAGAGGGCUGUAGGCAUACAAACCUGGGGGUGCUUGAGUGAAGAAUAAUGGACGGUUUCUAUGUGUAA
rnacentral:lncRNA from 13 species